CUGACCUCAGAUCAGGCAAGAGCACCC
rnacentral:rRNA from 1 species